AUUGAACGCUGGCGGCAUGCCUUACACAUGCGAGUCGAACGGCAGCACGGGGCAACCUGGUGGCGAGUGGCGAACGGGUGAGUAAUGCAUCGGAACGUACCUUUCAGUGGGGGAUAACGUAGCGAAAGUUACGCUAAUACCGCAUAUUCUGUGAGCAGGAAAGCAGGGGAUCGCAAGACCUUGCGCUGAUUGAGCGGCCGAUGUCAGAUUAGCUAGUUGGUGAGGUAAAGGCUCACCAAGGCGACGAUCUGUAGCGGGUCUGAGAGGAUGAUCCGCCUCACUGGAACUGAGACACGGUCCAGACUCCUACGGGAGGCAGCAGUGGGGAAUUUUGGACAAUGGGGGCAACCCUGAUCCAGCCAUGCCGCGUGAGUGAAGAAGGCCUUCGGGUUGUAAAGCUCUUUCGGCCGGGAAGAAAUCGCACGGGCUAAUACCCUGUGUGGAUGACGGUACCGGAAUAAGAAGCACCGGCUAACUACGUGCCAGCCGCCGCGGUAAAAC
rnacentral:rRNA from 1 species